GGCAGAACCAGAAAGGGAUGGAGUCUGAAACCAAAGGGUUCGGAUAAAACAAUUAUGCGAAAGAUCGGCAAGGAGUUCUGUCUAAUGUACACCAUCUAGUUAUAAAAUCCCGUAGGCCAGGAAAAGCUUUUCACAGGGGUUUCCUGUGUCUUCGAUAUUUCGUUCCCAUAUAAAAGGGAUCAAGAAAGACCCUUUACCCGAAUCCCUAGUUCGAAGUUCUUAUAAAACGCUAUU
rnacentral:misc_RNA from 1 species